GUAGAUAUACAUUAAUUUCAUUACUUGAUGCUUUCGGACCCAAAAUCAAUAGUGAUAUAAAAAUAAAUGGUUCUUUUAUGCACUUCCAAGAUGACACAUUAUAUACAAGUAGCAUUACAGGCCACAUGCUGUAAGAAGUACUCAAAUAACUAAAAUGAUUAAAUCCACCUGCCGCUAGACUAAGUCGGAUAUUGUGCGGGUCACUCGCAAAGUGUGGAUGCUUUGCAUCGAAAUUUUUUCACACUACAGAA
rnacentral:lncRNA from 1 species